GUCCCGGGACGCUGGCUCCCACUGAGCCCGCGCCCUCUUCCUCGGGGCGAAGUGGCGGGCCACGGCGCCCCGAGCCUUGUAGGUCAGGCAAGGCAAGGGGCGCCCUAACCAGUCGCCGCUGGCCCGCGCCACCUGUUGGAGUGGGGAAGCCGGCGACGCGCGGCUACCGGCGGACUCACGCUCAGCGGCCAGAGUGAAGUCCGGGCCGCGGAGCCGCGGGUUUCUGCUGAUAAGUGCAAAGAACCACCGUCUCGGUGCUAAGUGCACAGUAAACCCCAGAGUUUUAAUGCUAUCAUGCAGCCAACCCUCUAACAGAAGGCUUAAAUCUCCCCAAGCCGUGGGCCAGCCGGCAGAGAUUUCUCAGGCAGCUUCCCACGACCUGUUGCCAUUACCACCGCCUCAGAUAUGGAUUGGCUAGCAAUAGAAUUCAAAGGACUAAAGAGUCUGUGUGAUGCUACAGAUGAAAGCUCUACCCAGAAGAUGUGGGUUUUGGAGGAAAGAAGAUUUUAGUGAAUGAUGAGCCAUCAGCAGGCCGCUCUGAUGAUGAGAUACCCUGCCAGAUGAAUAUGGCAACAUUGGAAGUUUUGUGUUAAAGCUGGUGGAGCCACAAUGUGGAAGGAGCCCAGGACCCUGAAUCAGUGCCCAGAGCCAUGUAUUUCCCCAUCCCCACCUUGACACUGGAAUUCUGCCUAAAAUGAAACAGCAACAGAACAGAGGUCAAGAACUUGGAAAGAUUCAUAUGGAGGAAACCAGGAAUAUAAAGAAUUGCAUUUUCUGUCCUCUUGAGGCAAACCCAAAAUCUCUGGAUGAGAAGGAAGUAUUCUAUGAUGAGGAACACCUGUCGACCUGGGUCUGGGGAGCAGAACUUCCCACCAAUCUGCAUUGGGCAUACGAAGAAGCUGAGAUAUAAGCCUUUGUUCUUUCCAGCCUCUGUGAUUGCUUUGUUGUUUGCUUCCAUAACCUAACCUAGCCUGUCCUGAUUGACACAUUUGCCUUGAAUGUACUAGACCAGCAUGUAGUACUGAACCUCAUAAACACUGAAUGCCAUCCUGCUACAUUAGGAAUGAAAGCCAAGUUCUCUGUUCUCAGGACCUUCUGCUGAAUAUGUUUUGGUUUUUCCCUAGAAAAACUAGAACAUUAGACCAAAGAUUGGAGCCCUCCAGCCAAGUCUUGUCAACUUACCUCCCCUGGAGACUGAACAGUGCUUUAAGAUUGGACUCUCCUCCAACCAUGACAGCAACCACUUCUACUUAUUAACUAUUUUUGCCAGAUGCUCCUUUUAUAUUGUUGCAGUGGGAUUUUUGCCAGAACUGAACUCAGCCGCUUCCUUGGGAAUGUUGUCCAGUUGCUAAUUUCACUACCGGAACUGUGUUCCUUUGCGUCCUGGCCUAUUUCCAUGCAUGCUUCCACUGGAAUAAAGGGUCUGACAGUUCUGUGGAUAAUGGUAAACAUAUGCAGCCAAUGCUGUGCAGUUCUUUUAGAGCCAGAAAGCAUUAGUAGGUAUUUCAGUUGCUGGCAACAAAAAAAACAAUGUAAGGCACUUCAUCAAACACCAGAACCCAAAGAAAACUACACAUCAAUGAUUUUAAUACACAGCAAGUUUCUUCUUUCAUCCUUUCUUUUCUAAGUCAUUGGCUAAUUAAAAAUGAAAGUCAGACUAUUAUGACAACCUAAUUCCAAACUUUAAAACUACAGGGGAAAAGGUUGGGUUGAGAGGGAAAGAGAAUAUUACAACUUGUUUAUUUUGGAUACUAUUCCCAUUUCAAGUUAGGCUUUUUGAUUCUUUAAGUGUACAAGAGAACUUUGACUUUCCUGAGUACACAAGGGAAAAAUUACAUAUUGUGAUGUCAUUGCCUUGAGGAUUUCCCAUACCACUGAGUACAUUAGUCACACUGUCAAUGUCAAGGAGAUAUAAAAGAAAAAGGGGAAAAAGCAUAUUAUCUUCCUAUGAGAAUCAGUAAUGAUUUUUCUUUGGAUGCAUUUAUUCAAAAUUGUUUCCUAAAUUCCAGUGGAAUUUAAGAGAGCUAUUUUAAAAUACAUAAUGACAUCUGUAGCAGGUCAUCUUGUGAUACUCUAUUACCAGCCUAAUAAAAACAUUACUAUGUAAUGGUAAAUAAGAAUAAAAUGAA